rnacentral:lncRNA from 1 species
UAAUAAUAAUAAUAAAGAUGUCACUUGAGUUAAAAUAUUAUCAGCAGUGAACUGACUCUAUUGCUAUUGAUUUAUUCUUGAUGAUUGAAACUUUAAAUUAGUGAUCGGUACCGUUAAACAUUAUCUAUACUAUUAUAAAUAUUUGAAAAUUAAAUUUCAAAUAUUCACGAUAGUAUUCCUAACGAUCAAAGGAUGUUCAAAAUUUAUAACUUUAAUAAUUGAUUGUAACACACUGGACCUUUGCAAAUUGUAAGGUUCGACUGUUG